rnacentral:rRNA from 1 species
UAAAAUGAAUUGACAGGGGCCCGCACAAGCGUGUGGAGCAUGAGGUUUAAUUUGAAGCAACGCGAAGAACCUUACCUGGCCUUGACAUGCUGAGAACUUUCCAGAGAUGGAUUGGUGCCUUCGGGAACUCAGACACAGGUGCUGCAUGGCUGUCGUCAGCUCGUGUCGUGAGAUGUUGGGUUAAGUCCCGUAACGAGCGCAACCCUUGUCCUUAGUUACCAGCACCUCGGGUGGGCACUCUAAGGAGACUGCCGGUGACAAACCGGAGGAAGGUUGGGGAUGACGG